UUGAACGCUGGCGGCAUGCUUUACACAUGCAAGUCGAGCGGCAGCGCGGGGGCAACCCUGGCGGCGAGCGGCGAACGGGUGAGGAACACAUCGGAACGUGCCCCGGAGUGGGGGAUAACGCCGCGAAAGCGGCGCUAAUACCGCAUAUGCUCUGAGGAGGAAAGCGGGGGACCAGCAAUGGCCUCGCGCUCUGGGAGCGGCCGAUGUCCGAUUAGCAGUUGGUGGGGUAAGUGGCCCACCAAGGCGACGAUCGGUAGCUGGUCUGAGAGGAUGAUCAGCCACACUGGGACUGAGACACGGCCCAGACUCCUACGGGAGGCAGCAGUGGGGAAUUUUGGACAAUGGGGGCAACCCUGAUCCAGCCAUGCCGCGUGCGGGAAGAAGGCCU
rnacentral:rRNA from 1 species